rnacentral:lncRNA from 1 species
GAAAUUAACUAUACAUGGAAAUCAUAGCUGUGGCUACCUCAACCAACAACUACAUCUCAAAGAAGAAAACUACAACUAUGGCACACCUCACGUUGAAGGAAACAAAUCAAUAUAUAUAAAUAAGGAAUAUUGUAUUCAUAGAAAGAAAUAAGUAAUGAAAAGGCAAUAGCUAAUUACUACUCUAUAUAUAAAGAGUAUCCUGUACAAAUUGUAAUAUUGUAGUGCUCACGUUUGUAUGCUUAAGUGUAUUGCAGUAAACACAUAUUCUUCAUCUACUGCAUCCCCU